GUGAGACUUACAGGUCUAUAGUUAGCAGGAUCAAGUUUAUCUCCUGACUUGUACAAAGGCGUGAUUGUUGCUUGCAACCACUCGUAGGGCAAAGUGCCUUGUAAGAAUGAUUUUGUCAUCAUUUUGGCAAGUGGGCCCGACAACGAAGCAGCACAAGUUCUCAGGAGUUUGGGAGGUAUCUGAUCCGGACCUGGAGCUGUAUUUAAUUUAAUGGCACAGAGUUGGCUUUUUACCAGAUCCGGAGUAAAAUUAAUAUAAGACAACCCACUAAAUGUAGCAGCAAAACUGUCCGCUAAAGUGUUUGCAGUUUCUGUAUGAUCGGAGCAGAGUAGACCUGAAGCAUUUCGUACUAAAGGGACCGACACACGACUAGAGAUAAAUUUACGUACAUGGGAAUAAAAUAGUUUUGGUUUAUUUAAUAUAGAAUUUUCAUAAUUACACCUGGCUAUUUGUAAAUCAGAUUUUAGUUGGUUAGAAAAUCUUUUAUAAGCAGAAAAAUUAUCUUCAGUAGGCUUCCUUUUAAAUUUUUUCCAUAAUUUAGCUUUGUAUUUUAUUUUGUCAAGCAUGUGUUGAUUUAUCCACGGUUUAUCUUUUCUCAGUCGGUUUGUAAACAGUCUGGAAUUUGUUGUAAUGCAAGUUUGUAAAAUCGAUUUAAAAUGUUUCCAUUGUUCUUCCGCAUUUAGUGAAUCUAAACCAUUCCAGUCGUAAGUCAAGAGACUUUCGUCUAUGCGAGUGUAGUCAACAAUUGAUGUUGUUUUAAUUCUUGCAUUUGGCUCUGAAUAUAUCAUAAUUUGUAACUCAAUUUCGAUUUUUGAAUGAUCAGAUGUACCUACAGGAUUCGAAACGUUUAAAGACGAUACAAGGUUAACGUCAGACAAAAUUACCAAAUCAAGUAAUGAAGGACGUUGUUGGGAUCUAAAUCGUGUAGGUUCAGUGACUAUUUGUGACAAAUUAUUCUCCAAGAGCAAUUCAGAAAAUUGUUUUUCGAUGAUUGUUUGACCUGUUGUGUUUUUAGCAGACCAGUCUAUACAUGGAAAAUUGAAAUCUCCCAUGAUAAUUAAGUUAGGAUACUGAUUAAUAGUUGAUUGUAUGGUAUUAAAUAGAUUUUUAUCAUUUUCGUGAUUGUUAAAAGACGCUCCUGUUGGUGGUCUGUAAAUACAUGCUAUAACAAAGG